CGUUGGCUGCGGAGGACAUUAUCGAGAGCGGGGCUUCGCGCUCCCGGGGGCCUCGGCCCCCAACUCUUCACCCUUUGUCUACCUACCAUUGUUGCUUUGGCGGGCCCCGGGGGUCUCUCCUCCGCGCUGGCUUUCGGGUCGGUGAGCGUCCGCCAGAGGCCCAUUAUACUCUAUUUUUCCAGUGUCGUCAGAGCACACAAAGAAUUAAAUAAAACUUUCAACAACGGAUCUCUUGGUUCCAGCAUCGAUGAAGAACGCAGCGAAAUGCGAUAAAUAAUGUGAAUUGCAGAAUUCAGUGAAUCAUCGAGUCUUUGAACGCACAUUGCGCCCCUCGGUAUUCCGGGGGGCAUGCCUGUUCGAGCGUCAUUACACCCCUCAAGCGUAGCUUGGUAUUGGGCCCUCGCCCUUCCGGCGUGCCCGAAAAGCAGUGGCGGUCCGGUGUGACUUUUAAGCGUAUUCAAAACACCCGCUUCGAAGGUCUGCGCCGCGGCUUGCCAGACAACCCCCAUAUGCUUUGAUAAUUGACCUCGGAUCAGGCAGGGAUACCCGCUGAACUUAAGCAUAUCAAAAACCGGAAGAAAAA
rnacentral:rRNA from 1 species